UACGGAGGGGGCUAGCGUUGUUCGGAAUUACUGGGCGUAAAGCGCACGUAGGUGGCUUUGUAAGUUAGAGGUGAAAGCCCGGGGCUCAACUCCAGAAUUGCCUUUAAGACUGCAUCGCUAGAACGUCGGAGAGGUAAGUGGAAUUCCGAGUGUAGAGGUGAAAUUCGUAGAUAUUCGGAAGAACACCAGUGGCGAAGGCGACUUACUGGACGACUGUUGACACUGAGGUGCGAAAGCGUGGGGAGCAAACAGG
rnacentral:rRNA from 1 species